UACGGAGGAUGCGAGCGUUAUCCGGAUUUAUUGGGUUUAAAGGGUGCGUAGGCGGAUUUUUAAGUCAGCGGUAAAAUGUCCGGGCUCAACCUCGUCGAGCCGUUGAAACUGGGUGCCUUGAGUGGGCGAGAAGUACGCGGAAUGCGUGGUGUAGCGGUGAAAUGCAUAGAUAUCACGCAGAACUCCGAUUGCGAAGGCAGCGUACCGGCGCCCAACUGACGCUGAAGCACGAAGGCGUGGGUAUCGAACAGG
rnacentral:rRNA from 1 species